ACUCUCUUAGCUUAAUUGGUAGAGCAACAGUCUUCUAAAUUGUCGGUUAUCGGUUCGAGUCCGAUAGAGAGUU
rnacentral:tRNA from 1 species